rnacentral:rRNA from 1 species
UACGAAGGGGGCUAGCGUUGCUCGGAAUCACUGGGCGUAAAGCGUGCGCAGGCGGCUUCUCAAGUCAGGGGUGAAAGCCCAGAGCUCAACUCUGAAAUUGCCUUUGAGACUGAGUGGCUUGAGUACGAGAGAGGUGAGUGGAAUUCCCAGUGUAGAGGUGAAAUUCGUAGAUAUUGGGAAGAACACCGGUGGCGAAGGCGGCUCACUGGCUCGUAACUGACGCUCAUGCACGACAGCGUGGGGAUCAAACAGG